CCAAAAUCAGUAAUGGGCGGAGGUAAUUAGUGCUGCAGUGAUGUCACUCAAUGAUUGAUGUGAGUUUUGCGAUGCAUCACCCGCGGAGAAGAAGACGAUAUGCAACUUGACAUUGGACGGCACGUUGGUUGCUGCAUUGAGAUCUCACUAAUACCAAUGACUAACGUUUGAUUCGGUCCACUCCUUGCCGGAUUUCAAGCUUGGGGCAAGAAGCACAUCGUUGUAUGCAGACAUAGAACUAGGAGUAGACACUUGAAUUCUUUCAAAAGCCUCUUCUCUGAGCAUCGCGAAGAAUUUUCCUCAUGGUGUGUAGUUGCAUGCUUGCAGGUGCUCAGUCGGGACCAUGGCUAUCCAAUCCGAGCUGUGGUCCCAAGGGUUAUCGGAGCGUUUUGUAAAAUGGUGGAAUCUCUUUCGCACAAGUUCAGGAUGAUGGGCCUCGGAGCCUUCAUUCUGGUGAAACAACGGAAUCAGCAGCAGAGCAUGGAUUCGAAGGUCAUGAAAGUUGUAUUCCUGCUUUGAUGACGCAAGGUGAGCAUGACAAAUUUCACAUUGGAAUUGGGGACGAACCUAGCCAUGCAGCAACCGCAGUGUCCCAUAAAGAUGAAGAGCAUGUCAAGAAUGGAAGUCGGCAGCGAAACUCAUUUUCUGUUGCGAAUGGGGAGCGCAUUACUAGAGAAAAUGGAACAGAACAUGGUCACGAGAUCGCACCCUCCCAGAUGAACAUGAAGGAGAUCGCAAUUAAGGUUGCGAAGAAAAUGCUGCGGCUACCGCUUACUUACGCCACCGUUAUGGGAAUUGUCUACUCGCUCAUUGCUGGCAGGUAUUCAAUUCCCAAGUCUUGCUUCUACCUCAUGCAGUGAACCUCCACACUGUCAUGUACUCGCAUGGCUCUCUCUCAAUUAAGAAAUUAGCUUCUCUUUGGAGACAAAAAGUAUCUUGAAUUAGUUCGCAGUGAGCUGCAACCGUGCAACCAUUGCAUGAGAUGAGUGCAGGUGGGGUUUCGAUCCUCCUCGAAUUUUGAGAAAUUCGCUUGAUAUUAUGGGCAGGAUUACACUGGGGCUGACCAUGUACUCCAUCGGUAUUCAUUCACCUGCUAUAACCCCCUUUCGAUUUGUACAUUUAAAUAUACUGUAAAAUACUUUCAGAGUCCUCUUGCUCCUGGGCUUCUGAAGUGUGCAGGAGCAUUCAUUAGGACAAGAUGUGAGUUCUGGCACUAGAAUUGAAUCCCGAUGUGCUUAUUGCUUA